UGGCACAGUUGGUAGAGCAUGGUGUUUGCAACGCCAGGGUUGUGGGUUUGUUUCCCAC
rnacentral:tRNA from 1 species